rnacentral:lncRNA from 1 species
UUUGGCUGAGCUUUCGGAUCGGGUUUUUGCUGGAAAGGGUAUACAGGAUUUCUUCGGGUGAUGAUAGAGGAGUUGUGAUCUGCUGGGAGAGGGUAUGCCCUCUUGACCUGCACCUGCCACUUGUUAAAGAAGCAUUUGACUGCUUGAAUUUUUGUUACAUAGUUUCUUAUUUUUAACUUGUAUUCCUCUCUGUCAUUUCUUCUAUGGUUUUUGAGGAAUUUUGGAAUGGCAUCUUCGAAAGUGAAAAAUAGCUUUUAGUUAUAUAUUGUAUGUGAAAAACUAAAAAUGGUCAAGUCCAAAUUGACACUAAAUCAAUUGAAACAAAUUAAACAAAUGAAAUAAUGCCAGCUGAACAUUUUUUUUGAUACCUUUUUUGACGUUCCUCUAAGUGCAAAAAAUCUAAAGAGCGAUGUGAUGGUAUUGAUCAAAAUUAAUGGUGUAGAUAUGGUCACACGAAAGAGUUUAAAUCUUGAUGUCAAAUGCAAUGUACAUGUAACAUGGUUAAAACAAACGAUACAUUUGACAUAUAUUUUAAAAUGUCAAAUAUUAUUUCUAGUAGUGAGAAAUUACUUUUAGGCCAUGUUUGAUUGGUCUUGAAUUCCAUGGAAAAUGAAAAAUGAAUUCUAUUUUUCAACUUUUUUUAUAUUUGAUAAAACAUUUUUUUCAUGAAAUUUAAUUUUGUCUUGAAAAUUGUGAUUUUCUUGGUUUUCCUUGAAAACCAUAUGGAUAAGAAUUGGUUUUCCAACUCACUGUCCAUGUUUUUUUUUUUUUUUUUUGCCAUGAAAAUAAAUUUUAAAAAUUAUUGUAAAAAAAAUAUUUUUCUUUAAUGAACAAUUUUCAUGCAAAACAAAGCCAAACGAAUACCAAAAGAUAGAUGAUUUUCUUGAAUUUUUUUUGUUGGCAUUGGAAACAAAUUUAAUUCCCAAUAUCAAUAAAUUUUAUCCAUUUAAUUGAUAAUUUUCAUGUAAAACAAAACCAAAUGAACACUAAAAAACACUUUUAUUUUAACAUUUUUCAGGUAAAAAAUUAUAUCAAUCAAACGCAAUAAUUUAUAAUUUCUAGAAAAAUAAUUUCUAAGCAAUUCAAUUCCUUGAAAUUCGUUUUCAAUUCAAUUUAAUUUCAUAUUUACAAUUAAAUAGACCCUUGAACAUAUUUAUAUAGUUGUUUAGAAGUAUAUGUUUGGUUAAAAUAGCUUUUAGAUGAAACUGACUUAACGCAACUUCACCGAAAAGUUCUUCUACAAACAAAAACUCUGGUAGACGGACCUCAAAAUUGACCACUUCUCUGCUAAAUCAACACAGCAAACACAGUAAAGAAAGUGCAACGCGGUAGGAAGGAGAACGGAAAAAAGGUUAGCAAAGUCGCGCAUUUAGGAAACAGGGUGUGGGUGAAGAUGGAGUUCAGAGAAGGACAUCGUAAAGAGAAUUUCUGGAUAUUUGAAAAAACAAUAUUAGUUGAUCAUCAAAGUUUAAAAGGCCAACCUCCCAAUAUAAGCAAACAAGUGUCCAAGUUAGGCUACCAGAAUUCAUAAAAAAACCAACUCCCAAGAUACAGCACAGAGUUCGAUCAGUUUUAACAUCUAACCAACGAAAGCAUAUCAAGUUUACACCAAAGGCAACAAAGCAUUCAAAGUUGUUAAUUAUGAAUAAAAAAAGCUGGCACGAGAAAGGGCUUAAUAGGAAAAAUAUCUACUCACUAACACUCGCAGGACCAACAAGGACUCCCUGUGCAUUUCCUUCCUUCUUACCACUCUCAUCUUUCAUUUCACCAUCAGUUUUUUUAAUUCUAAUUUUGUAUUUGGCCUCGAAUUCAGCGACCUCCUUUUUCUUCUUCUCCAAGGCCUCGUUGAGUCGAUUUAUUACCUCUUCAAUCCCCUCCUUGUUUCGCUGGACAGCUGGCAAAACUUCUUUAAUGGUUCUUUCCACGAGGACACCUCCAAUCAUCCGGUAGCAACGCCUCGACGGAUCAAGAGGUUUAAUUGCGUUGAUCACGAGUGAAUGCUCACUAACCUCCAUCUCAAGUUCAGUAAUUUUGGAGUAAAUUUGGUUGAUCUCAGCCCUCAUGGCACCAUAGAUGUUGGCGACGGCUUGCUCGUUCAUUGGUUCCUUACCAUCACCUUCAGCUUUCGCCAUGAUACUAAUAUGAAUAGGAAAACAAACUUUGGUCAAACUAUGACUCAUGUUCUUCUGUAAUUUCUACAUCUCAAACAGUUGAAAAUGCUUUAUGCAAAUCACAUAAUAGGUCUCACAGCCCGUCGAAUUGUGUCAGGCGGGAAACAGAAAGAAUAUUCAGUAGAUUUCUUUCCGGUGAGAACUAGAUACGACCCAUAUUGUCAUGUGUUUCAGGAUGCCAUUUGAUCCGGGUGGACGGGAACCAACCCAGAUCAAUUGGCUCCCCAACGACAAUAAUUGGCAUAAAAGGAAAUAAAUAAAAUACAGACACGUGAUAGGCUCUCUGUCAAAAAUUAAUCCUUUUCCGACAACAACUUAAGCUAAAAAUGCUAGAAGCAGAACAUAAAAGGAAAAUGAAAUACACAGAACUGAGAAGCUAUCAAUCAAUGUCCAUCCUUCUCUGAUGAAAAGUCCAGCUAGAGAUACCUUACAAUAGCGACAAGCUCCAUCUUCAAGAUGCAUCAUAUUACCACAAACAAGAAAAACUAAGCCUUGUUCCCACUGGAUUAGGGGUUCACAACUGAAUCAUUUUUCUCUACUCCCUUCAGUUCAUUGUUAUAGACCAACUAGAAGUUCGAAAUAAUUAAAUCCUAACUUACUUCAAAGACACUUUCAAAGUUAUAUUUACUUACACCAGUAAGUGUGAAAUAACAAGGUAAACAGAAAAAAUAAAAUAAAAUAAAUUUAACACAACAUUGUUCCCAUUUGAUUUGUGGUUGGCAACUGAAUCAUUUUUGUCCACUCCUGAAGUUCAUCAUUAGACCAACUAGGAGUUCAAAAUAAUUAUAUCCUAAGCACUUUCAAAAUUUUGUUUACUAAAACCAGUAAAAGUGACAUAACAAGGUAAACAAAAAACAAGUAACACUUGCAUACAUUGCCCAGAAUUAUUUUAAUUGACAGCACCAACAUGCCGCACUGCAACUGAAACCCCAUAGCUUGAACUAGCCCAAACAUUUACCAACCAUAAACAGAGGGGAAGGCAUAUGAGAGAAAUAAAUAGUGGGUGAUUGUUGAACAAAAAGACCCUAAAAUUCAUAGAUCGGUUGAAUGCAAAAAUUCAGUAUCCACCAGUUUCCUCAAGAUUUACAUCCCAGACAAAAAGAUUUUUUUCAGUUCAAUACUAGAAGGCAUAGCAGUUUGUUACCAAUAUCCAUGAAUAUAUCUAAAGAUUACACUAAUUAGCUAAGAAUAUUUCAUUUCUAUAGGAAUCCAUUCAUGUUCCCCUGCCCUCGAAGUCCCAAUGCCUCGAGGGAAAGAGACACAAUAAACUAACACCUUCAGUUUGCGUGAAACCCAGAUAAACAAAAAAUGCACAAACUGGAAAUAAUACACACAUAUACAGGUGCAGGUAUGUGUUGGUGGGUCAUGUAUGACAAUUCUACUAGAAAUCAGUUAUUACACGUAGUUUUAGGAUUCAAAUAUUAUUCGUAACUAGGAUUGCCAGUAUUUCAUUAAUUUUGUUAUUUAGUUGAUAAGGUAGGUUAUCAGUUUUCUAAUUAUAUUAAGAGUUUCUUAUAUAAGAAUUCUUAAAUUUUGAGGAGACUCAAUUGUAAAUGAAUCUCUCCUUCCAUUCCAAUGCUUAUAUAAGAAGAGGACUGUCUGUACUUGUAUUAUGUUCAAAUUAUUUUAGAUAGUACUCUUUAGCCUUUUCUAGUUUUUACAAGAUUAAACUUCAAUUGCUACAAUAGUGAGAUAAUAUGCCAUCCUUAGAUAUUACACCGUUUACAAACCUUGAUUACUAAAAAUAGUCAAAAGACUAAAAAUUCAACAACAAACAUCGUCUAUAAUUCAAACGAAGCUUAAAUCACUAUAUUUUGUUUUGCAUAAAUGCAAAAACUGAGCGCAAUCAUAAAACAUUCACGAUACAUAAAAACCCAAGUACACCAAAAAAAGGACAAACCUUUUGAAACUAACAUCUACAAACUAACAUUGUAUAAAUUCAGGGACACAGGAAUAUUAUGUAAAAGCAUAAACCCUAACUCUUUCAAAUAUGUAUUUGCUAAUUUCUCCCAGUGUUGUGUCGGUAUUGAAAAGAUCAAUCAAAAUUGAACUGACCUUAGUAAUCAGAGGGUUCUAAGUGAGAGAGGCAGCCGAUUGAGCGAGAGUAGAGAAACGAUUGACUGAAGAGGUCAGGAAGAGGUGAGGGGAAGAGAAGGGAAGAAAGGAGACUGAGAGGCUUUUAUACUUCUAUUAUUUGUCUUGGAUCCCACCUCAAAUAUUUCCUAAUAAAUAAAUUUUGAAAUUAAAGAUACUUUUAGAAAUUUAGCCCCUUCUGAGCUUCAUUCUUCUGAGAAAAUAUAUUUUUAAAUAAUAUUUUAACAUUAUUUUAAUUACAUGUUUUUUAAUAAAAUAAUAUUAAAUACAAAUUUAAAAUUUUUCUUAUUUUAUAACUAUAUAUUUUUUAUCAAUAUAUUAUUCAAAAAUACAUUUUUAUAAAACGAAAGGACUCAAACAAGGGUUUAAUUUAAGGAAAAAAAGUAAGAAGCAAAAGUUCCAAAAUAAUUUGUAUAGAAGAAAUACAAGGAAUUUGCCUGAGCUUUGACAGCUCGGUGUACAACCCUCUCGCAAAAGAAGGGGGUAGACAUCCAAUAAAAAAAUCACGACCCCUCUCUUGUGAGAGGGACUGUAUACCAAGCUAUGUACAAGUAGCAGGACCAAAAAUACAAAGGCCGUGCUCACUAUAAGCGGGCCAUCAAAUUUGUUUGAAGACCUUAAAAAACCGGGCCCAACAUGAGCUAACACAAAUUUGGGCUUCUUAGAAUUAGAGAUAAAACAUCUCUCAAUCUUGACUCCGAGAAUCCUAGCUUAUUUGUUUUUCCAACCAUGCUACUUAUACAAUAUUUUUACAAUCUUAAUUAACAACAUACACUUGACAACAUUAUCUUCAUCUAUUUUAGAAAUUAUUUUUCAAAUCAAUGGUCCAAAUCUUGACAACAUCAAUUUUGUCAAUCACAAUUAUCAACAAUAAUUAUACAAAUAGCUUUAUUCUUGUUUCUCACCCUUAAAUUGAUGCCUUGUUUGCAUCCGUACCGAAGAAUAGUUUUAUCAAGUCCUUGUUUGAAUCCCAUUUUAGAAAAAUAUACAUUUUGAAAUGGUGAUUUUUUUAAAAAAAAAAUUUUGGAGAAUAUAUGAUCAAAAAAUAAGGAAAAAUUUUCAAUAUACGUGUAAAAUUAGUUCAUUGAGGAAUGUUUGGUUGAAAAUGAAUUUUGAAAAAAUGGAAACCAAUAGAAUUCUGUAUUUAUUAAUAUGUAAAUAUAAAACAACCGUUAUUAAUUUAUCAAAUAAAGGCUAGUGAUUGUAACAAACAUCAUGUUUUUGUGUGCAAGGUAAUGUAUAAACUUUACGCUGCAAAGUAGCCAUGCCCGGCUCAAGGCCGGGAUUUAAAUAUGCUCAUAGACGGGGGACGGCGCCUCCAUUUCCAUAGUUCCAGGUCACAUCGGUCACAAUUUCUUGGUCACAAAUAACAAAAUUGUUGGUCAUAUGCACUAAACAUCCAACCUUGAUACUGAUCGACCACUAAUUUUUGGUCACAGACGCCCAAAUAGUUGGUCACGGAUGUCUAAUUAUUGGUCACAAACCCCCACCCAUCACUACCACUGCAACCACCAUCGCCAUCAUCAUCAACAGCAAUACAACAAUAGUUGGACACUACCGCAUCCAGAACCACCAUCAUCUCACCAAGAUGAGCACCACCGUCUCCUGCCACCACCAUCAUUAGCAUCACCGUACCCGUAACACCACGACGCCCACAACACACCACCACCGCACAUCGCACCGCCCACAGCACAACACAACACCAAAACCACCACCACCACCACCAUCUCCUCUAUCUCCAUUUACAUCACACCCAACCACCAUCCCCACUAAGAAUCCAUAAACCGGCCACCACCACCAUUACCACAGCACACUAUCACCGCAUGCGCAACCAUCACCUCAAAAAGCAACAAAAAAGGUCCAAAAAUCACAAGAAAAACCAUUGCACAGCGCAGCAAAAUCAUGGUAGAAACCUCCGCUUGCGCAACCACCACCCCAAAAAUGCAAGAAAAAAUGUCGAAAAAUCACAAGAAAAACCUUUGCCCGCUCAACUAGCCAUGACAACGCCGCGCAACGCCGCUAUGAGAGCUCACUUCGAUGCUCAUAGCUUUGAUUGGCGGUGUGGCUUCGAUCGGCAAGAUUGCUCAUAUCGCCAACUGCGAUGGCGCCACACUGCAGCAACUAUGCCGCCGCUCGACCCUUACAUCUUCGACGGCGACAACGGCACUCCUCAACGUUGAUGGUUAUCGACGGAGGGCAGAGACAGAAGAGAAGUCAACGUGAGAACUGAGAAGAGAGAGGGAAGAGAGACAGGAUUGAAAAUUGAAAAUGGAGGAAAUUAUUAUGGUUUUUAAUUGAAUUGGGGAUUAAUUAUAUAUAAUACCUGAUUUUUGUACAAGUAAACUUUAACCCUGAAUUUUGAAUUUAAAAGUUUAAGUAUCUGGAUUUAUGUAAUUUUUCCAUUAAAAAAUUAAUAAUUAAAAUGAAAAAAUCUCCAUAAACACAAUAGUGUAUAUAAGAGAAAGGUCUAGAAUGUGCAAACGUCCCAUUUUUUUACAUAGACUGAUUGAUAUGAAUAAAAUGCACAAAUGCAAAAUAAUAUAACGAUAAACUAAAAAUUAAGGAUGUGAUAAUGAAAUUAAUAAAUAUGUAAAAAUAUAAUGCUUCAUAGUUUCAAAAUCAUUUAUAAAUUUAUUUUCAAAAUUAAUUCCUUGUAUAGGUUAAAAAUAACUGAGAUUUUCAAGUGGAUCCAAACUUUAAAAAUAGUUCAAAUUCAACAAAAUAUAGUCGGAUCCAACUUAAAUUGGGUCUAAACCCAAACUGACCAACUGCUAGUUUUCGGAUACGAGAUAUUCAUCCUAGUCACUAUGGGCGUAUUUGCCCAAUUGACACAUCUGAGGGAAUCAAUGUUGGACUUAUUGGACCCAAAUUGGGUUGGAUUUAAACAAAUAGUUGGGUUGGGUUGAUUUGAUUUUAGAUCAAAUUGAUCAUGUUGAAUUUGAUUUGGGUUGGAUUCAACCCAAUCCAACCUACGCUCAACCCUAAUUGCUAAUAUGGGAAAAUUUCAUAUUCAAGUUAUUAAGUAUCAUUCAUUUCAAAAAUAAGAAACAAAGUUUCAAACAUCAAAUAUUAAUUAAAUUUUCUCUAUAAAAUAAUUAAUUGAAAAUAUGUUUUAUAAAUUAAAUAUAUUAAAGUCACAAUUUUAUAUAAUUCAGUCAUAAUUGUCAAACUAAUUGGUCACAUAUUAUUUUUCAAUCACAAAUAAAAUUUUUUAUAGGUUAUAAAUUAUUUCACGGUCAUCAAUCAGAAAUUUUACAGGUCACAAUUUGUUAUCAAUCACAAAUUAAAAAAUGUAUAGGUUAUAAUUUAUUUAUCGAUCACAAAUCAUAAAUUGUAUAAGACACAACUCCUUACGAGGUCACAAUGGUUACAAAUUAACAAAUUUUUAGGUUACACAUUAUUUAUUGAUCUCAAUUUAGCUAUUUAAUUGAUCACAUAUUAACUAAUUCAUUAGUCACAAUCAACCGUAUAAUUUGUGACACCACUACCUCCAAUGCCAUAGCCACAAGAACCACCAUCAACACCUAUCGGUAACAACACAACCAACAUAACUACCACCACUACUUUACAACCACCGUGACCUUAGCUACCAUUGUCAGCACGACCACCCUCACCUCGGCCAUCAACACCACCAACACAACAGCGACGCCACCACCCAAAAUCACUUUAAACCACCAUAAAACACCACCAACCGCAAAAACUACUUGCAAACACCACUAUGACACCGGCUGCAGCAAGAUCUGAAUCUGUAUUUGUUGUCGUGGCCACCAAUGCCAAAUUUUCUCUCAUGAGCAACAACAGCAUCUCCAAACCCACCAUUACAACGCAAUCGACACUGCAAUCCACAUCUCCACCACACCACUUCUGCCAAAUCAUCCAUCCUCUAAACAACAAACCAAGACAUUUCUGCAUCAUGUAUCCAAUAAACCCAAUUUGAGGACUAGAUGGAACCCUAAGCCAGAUCUCUUCAAUUUGGGGGGAAAAAAUGCAUUCCAAAUACUCCCCGCUGACAAUGAUCCCACCUGCAGCAGUCUCAUUAGAACCUCCUAUAAACAACUCCAGAUCAACUUCCUUAAACCUAAAACAUCAACCAUACAUCUACAUUCCUGGAUCAAUUUUGUCACUGACAUCCUCCACAACUGCCACCACCAGAUCCAACGAAAACACUCCGUCAUCUUCGUCUUCAUCGCCACCAGCAGCAACACCAAGCAGCCACCACCAUCGCCACCUCCAUGCCACUAACACCAACACAAACAACAUCCAAACCUAAUUUCUAGCGCGCAUGAGAAGAUGCAUCACCUAGAACCAUUGCUGCAAAAAGCAAAAUCUUCAUGCCGGGCGCUGCUAUCGCAAACUGCAGCAUAAUGCUGUUGCGAUAGCCUGAAAAUCAGGAAAGUUAGCUAGAGCAUCGUCGGUAGAAAGUCGUUGCUGUAAAAAUCCGGAGAAUGAGAUGGAGAGUGUUGCCUUAGAUAGAAGGUGUUAGAUAUUUUUCAUCAUUUUGCAUGUGUUUAAUUUUUUGUCUUGCGAAUGAUUUGCCGCCCAGAUUAGUGUUUGUCGCUGUCCAUCUGUUCAUUUUUAACAGUCACUUCCAAUAGACGUACUCAAGGAUUUCAAGGGAUACACCUAUUCAAACAGUUGCCUCAGUUUCUAUAAAUUCUGGACGAAUUCUCAUUUGCAAACAUAUUAAAAACAAUUUAUUCAGCCACAAGAACCACCAUCAACACCUAUCGGUAACAACACAACCAACAUAACUACCACCACUACUUUACAACCACCGUGACCUUAGCUACCACUGUCAGCACGACCACCCUCACCUCGGCCAUCAACACCACCAACACAACAGCGACGCCACCACCCAAAAUCACUUUAAACCACCAUAAAACACCACCAACCGCAAAAUCUACUUGCAAACACCACUACGACACCGGCUGCAGCAAGAUCUGAAUUUGUAUUUGCCGUCGUGGCCACCAAUGCCAAAUUUUCUCUCAUGAGCAACAACAGCGUCUCCAAACCCACCAUUACAACGCAAUCGACACUGCAAUCCACAUCUCCACCACACCACUUUUGCCAAAUCAUCCAUCCUCUAAACAACAAACCAAGACAUUUCUGCAUCAUGUAUCCAAUAAACCCAAUUUGAGGACUAGAUGGAACCCUAAGCCAGAUCUCUUCAAUUUGGGGAAAAAAAAUGCAUUCCAAAUACUCCCCGCUGACAAUGAUCCCACCUGCAGCAGUCUCAUUAGAACCUCCUAUAAACAACUCCUGAUCAACUUCCUUAAACCUAAAACAUCAACCAUACAUCUACAUUCCUGGAUCAAUUUUGUCACUGACAUCCUCCACAACUGCCACCACCAGAUCCAACGAAAACACUCCGUCAUCGUCGUCUUCAUCGCCACCAGCAGCAACACCAAGCAGCCACCACCAUCGCCACCUCCAUGCCACUAACACCAACACAAACAACAUCCAAACCUAAUUUCUAGCGCACAUGAGAAGAUGCAUCACCUAGAACCAUUGUUGCAAAAAGCAAAAUCUUCAUGCCGGGCGCUGCUAUCGCAAACUGCAGCAUAAUGCUGUUGUGAUAGCCUGAAAAUCAGGAAAGUUAGCUAGAGCAUCGUCGGUAGAAAGUCGUUGCUGUAAAAAUCCGGAGAAUGAGAUGGAGAGUGUUGCCUUAGGUAGAAGGUGUUAGAUAUUUUUCAUCAUUUUGCAUGUGUUCAAUUUUUUGUCUUGCGAAUGAUUUGCCGCCCAGAUUAGUGUUUGUCGCUGUGCAUCUGUUCAUUUUUAACAGUCACUUCUAAUAGAUGUACUCAAGGAUUUCAAGAGAUACACCUAUUCAAACAGUUGCCUCGGUUUCUAUAAAUUCUGGACGAAUUCUCGUUUGCAAACACAUUAAAAACAAUUUAUUCUUCCUUCUUUCUCUUGGCAUCAAUCAAUUAUUUUCGAGUGUCUUCUUGGUUUGAUCAAAUAAUCACAAUUUGAAUCAAACGACUCCAUUGUAUCCUGAGAGAGAUUUUCUAUCAUACCCCAGUUGUGACUUUGUUGAAUAGAGGAGAAAUAUCUCUUAAAAGAUAACGUUUUUUCGUGCCUUAGAGUUCAUUAACGUAUUCAGAUUUCCCUACAUUUUAUCAACAGAAGGUAGAGAGAGGAGAAUAUAGAGAGUAAAAAAGAGAAGAAAAUGAGAAAGAUCUAGGGUUUUGAAAUCAGCUUGGGGUGGAUGGUGUGGUGGUAUAUAAAUUAAUGUAAUUUUAUAACAAUAAUGUAAUAUAAUUAUUAUAAUUUAAAAUUUUGAUUAUCAUCUGAUUUUUGAUAAAAAAAAAUAAAUUACAAAUCUUAAUUUUGAAAUGGAAAGCUUAAAAUUCUGAUAGGCUGUAAUUUCCAUAUAUCGAUAUUAGUGACGUUACUAAUAGUAAUCUUGAUAAGAAAAUUCUCUUAUCUAAAAAUUUCCAGAUCUAUGACAAACCAACCCAUGAAAUUUUCAUGUAACAUACUUUCAUGACAAAGUUCAUCAAACCUAAAAAUGUUCUUAUUGAUAAUCUCUUUAUUUUCACGUAAUUAUAUUUUUUCUAAAAUAGAAAAUAUUUUUUUUAGGGGAGUAUGAUUUUAUUUUUCAAAGAAUUCACUCUCUCUUUCUCUUUCUCAUCUACCCACUAAUUAAAAAAAAACAAACAUAACAUUUUAUAGGUUGAAAAUUAAAUUAGCCAUACACAUUUAAAUAACAAUUUUCAUUCAAAUAAGUUACUCGCAAUCAAACGCAUCCUUAGUAAUCCAGUGGUGCAAAUGACAGGAGUGAGAUAGUUUCAACCUUGCUGACAGCCACAGUGUGAGCAUUCAAUUUCUGAGAUAUGGAAUUGGACUCUUUGUAGGUAUCAGUAUACGAGCAAACUCUUGUUCCCUGACCCACUGGGACACAUCUCGCGAUUUACCUCCUUCAAGAUACUCCAUUAACGAAACGGUGAGAGUUGUCAAGGUUGGGGUCAACUUUUUUAGAUGUAAUGAAAAUAGAAGUAUUUUAAUCAAUCACGAUGAAUGUACUAACUCUGUAUAAGACGACGAAAAUAGAUCGAACAGAUAUCCAUUUUUCCAAAUAUUUGUGUGGUUUAGUUAAAUAGAAAGCACCCUCUUCCUUCACCAAACACCAAUUUGCAGAGAGAUAUGGCCUUGCCUUUCUCUCCCUCUUCUUCCUUUCCAAUAAUUGCAUCCCAAAAAUCCACUCAUCCCAACACCACCAAAUUCCAUAUUACUGAAAGACCCAUUAAUAUUUUCACAGAAAACGCCUUAAAAUUCACAUAUUCCAUUCCCAAAAUCACCAAUUCGACCUUCCUCAACAAAGCCUCCCAAGAGCAAGAAAACACCAGUGUUGCCUCAGAAUCCCAAACCCAGGAAAACCCUCCUGAGGAUAACCGGGUCGAGAAAGAUCAGAGUGAGGGAAUAUCAGAAUUGGGUAUGGAAAUCAAGAAGGCAAUGAAGGAGAGGGAGCAAAAGGAACCUGAUUUCUUGAGUGGGGUGGCAGAGGAAAUUAGGGAAAUUGAGUGGCCUGGUUUUAGUAAAGUGUUGGGAACUACUGGAAUUGUUUUGGGGGUGAUGGCAGGGUCGAGUGUCGUUUUGUUAACUGUUAAUGCCGUUUUGGCUGAGCUUUCGGAUCGGGUUUUUGCUGGAAAGGGUAUACAGGAUUUCUUCGGGUGAUGAUAGAGGAGUUGUGAUCUGCUGGGAGAGGGUAUGCCCUCUUGACCUGCACCUGCCACUUGUUAAAGAAGCAUUUGACUGCUUGAAUUUUUGUUACAUAGUUUCUUAUUUUUAACUUGUAUUCCUCUCUGUCAUUUCUUCUAUGGUUUUUGAGGAAUUUUGGAAUGGCAUCGCCUUAGAUAGAAGGUGUUAGAUAUUUUUCAUCAUUUUGCAUGUGUUUAAUUUUUUGUCUUGCGAAUGAUUUGCCGCCCAGAUUAGUGUUUGUCGCUGUCCAUCUGUUCAUUUUUAACAGUCACUUCCAAUAGACGUACUCAAGGAUUUCAAGGGAUACACCUAUUCAAACAGUUGCCUCAGUUUCUAUAAAUUCUGGACGAAUUCUCAUUUGCAAACAUAUUAAAAACAAUUUAUUCUUCCUUCUUUCUCUUGGCAUCAAUCAGUUAUUUUCGAGUGUCUUCUUGGUUUGAUCAAAUAAUCAUAAUUUGAAUCAAACGACUCCAUUGUAUUCUGAGAGAGAUUUUCUAUCAUACCCCAGUUGUGACUUUGUUGAAUAUGGGAGAAAUAUCUCUUAAAAGAUAACGUUUUUUCGUGCCUUGGAGUUCAUUAACGUAUUCAGAUUUCCCUACAUUUUAUCAACAGAAGGUAGAGAGAGGAGAAUAUAGAGAGUAAAAAAGAGAAGAAAAUGAGAAAGAUCUAGGGUUUUGAAAUCUGCUUGGGGUGGAUGGUGUGGUGGUAUAUAAAUUAAUGUAAUUUUAUAACAAUAAUGUAAUAUAAUUAUUAUAAUUUAAAAUUUUGAUUAUCAUCUGAUUUUUGAUAAAAAAAAAUAAAUUACAAAUCUUAAUUUUGAAAUGGAAAGUUUAAAAUUCUGAUAGGCUGUAAUUUCCAUAUAUCGAUAUUAGUGACGUUACUAAUAGUAAUCUUGAUAAGAAAAUUCUCUUAUCUAAAAAUUUCCAAAUCUAUGACAAACCAACCCAUGAAAUUUUCAUGUAACAUACUUUCAUGACAAAGUUCAUCAAACCUAAAAAUGUUCUUAUUGAUAAUCUCUUUAUUUUCAUACCUUUGAUCACGUAAUUAUAUUUUUUCUAAAAUAAAUUUUUUUUUUUAGGGGAGUAUGAUUUUAUUUUUCAAAGAAUUCACUCUCUCUUUCUCUUUCUCAUCUACCUACUAAUAAAAAAAAAAAAAACAAACAUAACAUUUUAUAGGUUGAAAAUUAAAUUAACCAUACACAUUUAAAUAACAAUUUUCAUUCAACUAAGUUACACGCAAUCAAACGCAUCCUUAGUAAUCCAGUAGUGCAAAUGACAGGAGUGAGAUAGUCUCAACCUUGCUGACAGCCACAGUGUGAGCGUUCAAUUUCUGAGAUAUGGAAUUGGACUCUUUGUAGGCAUCAGUAUACGAGCAAACUCUUGUUCCCUGACCCGCUGGAACACAUCUCGUGAUUUACCUCCUUCAAGAUACUCCAUUAAUGAGACGGUGAGAGUUGUCAAGAUUGGGGUGAACUUUUUUAGAUGUAAUGAAAAUAGAAGUAUUUUAAUCAAUCACGAUGAAUGUACUAACUCUGUAUAAGACGACGAAAAUAGAUCGAACAGAUAUCCAUUUUUCCAAAUAUUUGUGUGGUUUAGUUAAAUAGAAAGCACCCUCUUCCUUCACCAAACACCAAUUUGCAGAGAGAUAUGGCCUUGCCUUUCUCUCCCUCUUCUUCCUUUCCAAUAAUUGCAUCCCAAAAAUCCACUCAUCCCAACACCACCAAAUUCCAUAUUACUGAAAGACCCAUUAAUAUUUUCACAGAAAACGCCUUAAAAUUCACAUAUUCCAUUCCCAAAAUCACCAAUUCGACCUUCCUCAACAAAGCCUCCCAAGAGCAAGAAAACACCAGUGUUGCCUCAGAAUCCCAAACCCAGGAAAACCCUCCUGAGGAUAACCGGGUCGAGAAAGAUCAGAGUGAGGGAAUAUCAGAAUUGGGUAUGGAAAUCAAGAAGGCAAUGAAGGAGAGGGAGCAAAAGGAACCUGAUUUCUUGAGUGGGGUGGCAGAGGAAAUUAGGGAAAUUGAGUGGCCUGGUUUUAGUAAAGUGUUGGGAACUACUGGAAUUGUUUUGGGGGUGAUGGCAGGGUCGAGUGUCGUUUUGUUAACUGUUAAUGCCGUUUUGGCUGAGCUUUCGGAUCGGGUUUUUGCUGGAAAGGGUAUACAGGAUUUCUUCGGGUGAUGAUAGAGGAGUUGUGAUCUGCUGGGAGAGGGUAUGCCCUCUUGACCUGCACCUGCCACUUGUUAAAGAAGCAUUUGACUGCUUGAAUUUUUGUUACAUAGUUUCUUAUUUUUAACUUGUAUUCCUCUCUGUCAUUUCUUCUAUGGUUUUUGAGGAAUUUUGGAAUGGCAUCUUCGAAAGUGAAAAAUAGCUUUUAGUUAUAUAUUGUAUGUGAAAAACUAAAAAUGGUCAAGUCCAAAUUGACACUAAAUCAAUUGAAACAAAUUAAACAAAUGAAAUAAUGCCAGCUGAACAUUUUUUUUGAUACCUUUUUUGACGUUCCUCUAAGUGCAAAAAAU